rnacentral:rRNA from 1 species
AUACGGAGGGUGCAAGCGUUAAUCGGAAUUACUGGGCGUAAAGCGUACGUAGGCGGCAAGUUAAGUUAGAUGUGAAAGCCCCGGGCUCAACCUGGGAACUGCAUUUAAAACUGGCUUGCUAGAGUUGAGUAGAGGGGAGUGGAAUUUCAGGUGUAGCGGUGAAAUGCGUAGAGAUCUGAAGGAACACCAGUGGCGAAGGCGACUCCCUGGACUCGAACUGACGCUGAGGUACGAAAGCGUGGGUAGCAAACGGAAUUAGAAACCCUUGUAGUCC